rnacentral:piRNA from 1 species
UGACUGGGGCCAGCUCCCUAAUGAAGGAA